rnacentral:rRNA from 1 species
UACGUAGGGGGCAAGCGUUGUCCGGAAUCACUGGGCGUAAAGGGUGCGUAGGCGGGUCUUUAAGUCAGGGGUGAAAUCCUGGAGCUCAACUCCAGAACUGCCUUUGAUACUGAAGAUCUUGAGUUCGGGAGAGGUGAGUGGAACUGCGAGUGUAGAGGUGAAAUUCGUAGAUAUUCGCAAGAACACCAGUGGCGAAGGCGGCUCACUGGCCCGAUACUGACGCUGAGGCACGAAAGCGUGGGGAG